rnacentral:rRNA from 1 species
GAUGAACGCUGGCGGCGUGCUUAACACAUGCCAGUCGAACGGAAAGGCUCCUGCUUGCAGGGGUACUCGAGUGGCGAACGGGUGAGUAACACGUGGGUGAUCUGCCCUGCACUUCGGGAUAAGCCUGGGAAACUGGGUCUAAUACCGGAUAGGACCACAUUUUGGAUGGUGUGGUGGAAAGUUUUUCGGUGUGGGAUGAGCUCGCGGCCUAUCAGCUUGUUGGUGGGGUAAUGGCCUACCAAGGCGUCGACGGGUAGCCGGCCUGAGAGGGUGUACGGCCACAUUGGGACUGAGAUACGGCCCAGACUCCUACGGGAGGCAGCAGUGGGGAAUAUUGCACAAUGGGCGCAAGCCUGAUGCAGCGACGCCGCGUGGGGGAUGACGGCCUUCGGGUUGUAAACUCCUUUCGCUAGGGACGAAGCGCAAGUGACGGUACCUGGAGAAGAAGCACCGGCUAACUACGUG